UACGGGGGGAGCAAGCGUUGUUCGGAUUUACUGGGCGUAAAGGGCGCGUAGGCGGCCACCGCAAGUCGAUUGUGAAAUCUCCGGGCUUAACCCGGAAAGGUCAACCGAUACUGCGGGGCUAGAGUGCAGAAGGGGCAACUGGAAUUCUCGGUGUAGCGGUGAAAUGCGUAGAUAUCGUAAGGAAGACCAGUGGCGAAGGCGGGUCUCUGGACAGUUCCUGACGCUGAGGCACGAAGGCCAGGGGAGCAAACGGG
rnacentral:rRNA from 1 species